rnacentral:rRNA from 1 species
AUUGAACGCUGGCGGCAUGCCUUACACAUGCAAGUCGAACGGUAACGGGCCUUCGGGUGCCGACGAGUGGCGAACGGGUGAGUAAUGCAUCGGAACGUACCUUUCAGUGGGGGAUAACGUAGCGAAAGUUACGCUAAUACCGCAUAUUCUGUGAGCAGGAAAGCAGGGGAUCGCAAGACCUUGCGCUGAUCGAGCGGCCGAUGUCAGAUUAGCUAGUUGGUGGGGUAAAGGCUCACCAAGGCGACGAUCUGUAGCGGGUCUGAGAGGAUGAUCCGCCACACUGGGACUGAGACACGGCCCAGACUCCUACGGGAGGCAGCAGUGGGGAAUUUUGGACAAUGGGGGCAACCCUGAUCCAGCCAUGCCGCGUGAGUGAAGAAGGCCUUCGGGUUGUAAAGCUCUUUCGGCCGGGAAGAAAUCGCACAGGCUAAUACCCUGUGUGGAUGACGGUACCGGAAUAAGAAGCACCGGCUAACUACGUGCCAGCAGCCGCCGUAA